GAAAGGAAGGAGGAAGGCUGAUUUCCCCUUUGUUACAUGCAGAUUAGCUCUGCUUGCUGUCAAUAUACACACCAGCUAGACAAAGUUCGGACAGCCCUCUUUUAAAGACAGCUCCAGUUUUCCUGAAGGGAAAGAUCUGUUGGGCAUUAGCUGUGGAGGUCUUCUGCUUCAGCUGUGAUCAGAAAGAACAUAGGAAAUAAAACCUAGUAAAGUUGCAGUCCUAUAAAUCUUUCCACACUGAAUUACACUGAAUGGUGCCCCACAGAAAGACCAAGAUUCACCAACGUCAGUUCCUGAAAUGCAAGAAUCAGACACUCGUGAUGUUACUAGAGCCCAUGCAGUUCUUAAUUUGGACCUAACUUCACUCAUUUUCCCCAUCUUUUUUUUUUUUUUUUUUUCCUUCCCCAGCUUUUUACAGUCAUUCAAGAAGUGUUUCAUAACUUAAUUAUUAGUAGGCAUAAUAAGUACAAAAUGCCUAGCAGAGUAACAAUAAUGUCAUUGCAAAGAAUGUUAAUGGCUGCUGUAUCAGUAGCACUCCAGCAAAUUUUUAAUGGUGUUGAGGACGAUAGUAUUGGUAGUAUCUGAGAAACCAUCUUUAAUUUGACAAGCAGUCUUAAGUCUAUAAUGUCUGCCUUGGAGACUAGCUCUCCCCUUGUAAGGGACGGCAGGGGCCAUGCUCAAAUUACAUGUCUGAGUACAAGAGGGAAACGGGUCAGGGCCACUACAGACCCCGUUUCAGAGAACUUAUUCUCCUUGACUUUAAUCCUACAAAGUCCACGUUUCAUGUGUACUGAAUCAUUUUUUCUCAGUGUCUUUAUAGCACAUUUUGUGUGCAAUGCAGCCAUGCCCGGUGCUGUUGGCUCUUCACUAUGCACUAUAGGAGCUUCCAUUCAUCAGCAAGGCAGCGCACUGCACCCAGCUGACUGAGUGUCAGCUUCACGCCACAGUAGCCAGCGGCAGCCCGUGACCUUCGAUUCUUUGCUAAUACUACUUGACAUCUUCCGGGCUUGCAAGCUAGACUGCAAAGAAAAUAAAUAAAUAAGGAUAAAUUGCAGUGUUAAAGCACAUUGCUAAGAACAAAUAAACAAUGACUGGUCCUUUAAGUUAUGGAUUUACUUUUUUUAAUAUAUAUAUAUUCCUCAGUUUAAACAUGGAAAUUAGUAUACUGAAUGCUAUUCUGCAAGGGUACUGUUCUUCUUUUUAAUAAAUAUUCUGGGAAUAGUUUUAUACAUUUAGCAAGCUUGAAGUCCCCAGGUUAUAAAUCAUCGAUGUUCCAUAUGGCACAGGCACUUUUUGAACUGUGUACCCACUGGAAAAAUCUGUAUAUUGUUUUUUCUGAAUGCUUUUCCCUUGCCCCUUGUAUUUAUAAAUCAUAUUGUCACCUGCAUAAGCUGUUUAUUUUCCAAAUUUUUGUUUGUCUGCAGUUGGGGGAAGGAGGAGGGGGGUACUGUAGGGGGAGGAACAACAAAAGAUACCAUGUCCUUUCCAAUAGCUGUGCUAUUUAAGCUUGUACAAGUGAUGGAAGGCUUAGAGUGUAUUAGAGUUUCAGCUCUGUUUUCAGAUUGUCUGUAUUGAAUGUUUUUCCUUAAAACAAGUGCAAAGAGCAUUAGAUCUCCUACCUAAAAAUAGCAGCUUUUAAUGGAAAGUAUGAGAUGCUGAACCUACAAUGGAGAGGGUUGGAAGCAGCUGGGGCUGUGCUGGCCUGCAUGCAGCCACAGAUGAUGCUGUCAAUAGCACCAUGGUGGUUUGGUCUGCUCUCAGGUGAGUAGGCACUUAUGAUAGUCCUGACCCCUACCUGUUUUAAGGUUUCCUUCAGGAAAUGACCUCCA